CGCAUCUGUGCAUGCAGCAUAUCAAUAAGCGGAGGAAAAGAAACUAACAAGGAUUCCCCUAGUAACGGCGAGUGAAGCGGGAAGAGCUCAAAUCUGAAAUCUUAAAGGGUUUCCCUUUACGAAUUGUAGUUUAAAGAAGUGUUUUCUGUUGAGGUUUUGGUAAAAGUUCUUUGGAAUAGGACAUCAUAGAGGGUGAGAAUCCCGUAUUUGACCUUUACUUUCAACUUUGUGAUACACUUUCAAAGAGUCGGAUUGUUUGGGAAUGCAGUCCAAAAUGGGUGGUAAAUUUCAUCUAAAGCUAAAUAUUGGCGAGAGACCGAUAGCGAACGAGUACCGUGAGGGAAAGAUGAAAAGAACUUUGAAAAGAGAGUUAAACAGUACGUGAAAUUGUCAAAAGGGAAGCGUUUGACACCAGUGUUGUUUUUCUGAAAAUCAAUUAAAGAACUGUCUUAUGCUAAGCUGUUUAGACUUUAUCAGCUAUCUGUUUAGUUUUGAGCUUUUCUUUAAUGCACUUUUCAGUUAACAAGUCAACAUCAAUUUCUUUUGCUGUAAAAAAGCUUGAGGAAGGUGGCUUGAGAUUCGUCCUUAAGUGUUUAUAGCCUCUUGCCUAUGCAGUCGGAGAGAUUGAGGUCUGCAGCGUAGAUCCUUCGGGGCUAAAUGCAUUUGUGCUAAGUUAUAGCAUUUUAUAGACAACUUGUUGACUAUGAUUUGUCUUGUAGCUUACUCGCUUAUGUUAUUUUACCUACGCUUAGGAUGUUGAUAGUCACAGCGUGUAC
rnacentral:rRNA from 1 species